AACGAACGCUGGCGGCAGGCUUAACACAUGCAAGUCGAGCGCCCCGCAAGGGGAGCGGCAGACGGGUGAGUAACGCGUGGGAAUCUACCCAUCUCUACGGAAUAACGCAUGGAAACGUGUGCUAAUACCGUAUACGUCCUUCGGGAGAAAGAUUUAUCGGAGAUGGAUGAGCCCGCGUUGGAUUAGCUAGUUGGUGGGGUAAAGGCCUACCAAGGCGACGAUCCAUAGCUGGUCUGAGAGGAUGAUUAGCCACACUGGGACUGAGACACGGCCCAGACUCCUACGGGAGGCAGCAGUGGGGAAUAUUGGGCAAUGGGCGCAAGCCUGAUCCAGCCAUGCCGCGUGAGUGAUGAAGGCCCUAGGGUUGUAAAGCUCUUUCACCGGUGAAGAUAAUGACGGUAACCGGAGAAGGAGCCCCGGCUAACUUCGUGCCAGCCGCCGCAGUAAAAC
rnacentral:rRNA from 1 species